GACGAACGCUGGCGGCGUGCUUAACACAUGCAAGUCGAACGAUGACGACCGAGCUUGCUCGGUCUGAUUAGUGGCGAACGGGUGAGUAACACGUGAGCAACCUGCCCUUCACUCUGGGAUAACCUCGGGAAAUCGGGGCUAAUACCGGAUAUGGGCUCCUGUCGCAUGGCGGGUGUUGGAAAGUUUUUCGGUGAAGGAUGGGCUCGCGGCCUAUCAGUUUGGUGGUGAGGUAGUGGCUCACCAAGGCGAUGACGGGUAGCCGGCCUGAGAGGGCGACCGGCCACACUGGGACUGAGACACGGCCCAGACUCCUACGGGAGGCAGCAGUGGGGAAUAUUGCACAAUGGGCGAAAGCCUGAUGCAGCGACGCCGCGUGAGGGAUGACGGCCUUCGGGUUGUAAACCUCUUUCAGCAGGGAAGAAGCGAAAGUGACGGUACCUGCAGAAGAAGCGCCGGCUAACUACGUG
rnacentral:rRNA from 1 species